ensembl:ncRNA Y42G9A.8 ncRNA
CAAAAAAGUAAAAAUAGAUUGCCCCAAACCAGGAUCGAACUGGUGACCUUACGAUCUUCAGUCGUACGCUCUCCCAACUG